UCCACACCGUAAACGCUGUCUACUAGCUGUUUGUGGAUUUAAUCCGUGAGUAGCGCAGCUAACGCGAUAAGUAGACCGCCUGGGGAGUACGGCCGCAAGGUUAAAACUCAAAUGAAUUGACGGGGGCCCGCACAAGCGGUGGAGCAUGUGGUUUAAUUCGAUGCAACGCGAAGAACCUUACCUACUCUUGACAUACAGUGAACUUUUCAGAGAUGAAUUGGUGCCUUCGGGAACACUGAUACAGGUGCUGCAUGGCUGUCGUCAGCUCGUGUCGUGAGAUGGUUGGGUUAAGUCCCGCAACGAGCGCAACCCUUGUCCUUAGUUGCCAGCCUUAAGUUGGGCACUCUAAGGAGACUGCCGGUG
rnacentral:rRNA from 1 species